UGCGCCAUGCCGCGUGUAUGAAGAAGGCCUUCGGGUUGUAAAGUACUUUCAGUUGUGAGGAAGGUUUCGUAGUUAAUAACUGCGUUGCUUGACGUUAGCAACAGAAGAAGCACCGGCUAACUCCGUGCCAGCAGCCGCGGUAAUACGGAGGGUGCGAGCGUUAAUCGGAAUUACUGGGCGUAAAGCGCAUGCAGGUGGUUUGUUAAGUCAGAUGUGAAAGCCCGGGGCUCAACCUCGGAAGGUCAUUUGAAACUGGCAAACUAGAGUACUGUAGAGGGGGGUAGAAUUUCAGGUGUAGCGGUGAAAUGCGUAGAGAUCUGAAGGAAUACCAGUGGCGAAGGCGGCCCCCUGGACAGAUACUGACACUCAGAUGCGAAAGCGUGGGGAGCAAACAGGAUUAGAUACCCUGGUAGUCCACGCCGUAAACGAUGUCUACUUGGAGGUUGUGGCCUUGAGCCGUGGCUUUCGGAGCUAACGCGUUAAGUAGACCGCCUGGGGAGUACGGUCGCAAGAUUAAAACUCAAAUGAAUUGACGGGGGCCCGCACAAGCGGUGGAGCAUGUGGUUUAAUUCGAUGCAACGCGAAGAACCUUACCUACUCUUGACAUCCAGAGAAUUUUCCAGAGAUGGAUUAGUGCCUUCGGGAACUCUGAGACAGGUGCUGCAUGGCUGUCGUCAGCUCGUGUUGUGAAAUGUUGGGUUAAGUCCCGCAACGAGCGCAACCCUUAUCCUUGUUUGCCAGCACGUAAUGGUGGGAACUCCAGGGAGACUGCCGGUGAUAAACCGGAGGAAGGUGGGGACGACGUCAAGUCAUCAUGGCCCUUACGAGUAGGGCUACACACGUGCUACAAUGGCGCAUACAGAGGGCAGCGAACUUGCGAAAGUAAGCGAAUCCCAAAAAGUGCGUCGUAGUCCGGAUUGGAGUCUGCAACUCGACUCCAUGAAGUCGGAAUCGCUAGUAAUCGUGGAUCAGAAUGCCACGGUGAAUACGUUCCCGGGCCUUGUACACACCGCCCGUCACACCAUGGGAGUGGGCUGCAAAAGAAGUAGGUAGUUUAACCUUCGGGAGGACGCUUACCACUUUGUGGUCAUGAUGGGGA
rnacentral:rRNA from 1 species